UUUUGUGCAAUGUUUAAUGAUCUUAGAGAGGGCCAGAGACAUGACAUGUGUUGCCAAUUCAGAACAUAAAAAUGGGAAGAUUGCAUCUUGCAGUUAGAGUUAUUGAAGCUGAUGAAAAGGGUGCAGGGAAGAUGAUGUUAACUUGAACAUUACAGCGUCUCGGUGAGCCUAUUUUCGUACCAAUUCUAAGCCAUUAGCUCGUCAACUUGUAAGUUAUCUCUGCUUUCUUGACGCUUUCUGUCCUGUACCAGGCUAAGGCUAAAACUGAUAUAUUUUUGGGUAUGGGUUGGGUAUUGAUUAUCUAAAAUUUAGGAUAGUCUAUAUAAGUAAUUAGGAUAAAAUAAUAAAAUGUCACUAUCUGAAAAAUAGAUUAUUGAGAAAUAUUAUAUUUUUCGAAAUAUAUACAGAACCUACAUAUUCUUACAGUUGCUAGUGCAACCUUAUAAAGGGAAUGCCACCUACAUAUUAUCCAAAAAAGUUUUGCUUAGCAUCAAAAGCACAAGAGCCAUCUCUUAUGUAGUAUGAUUAUGAGCCUCAUCAGUGAGAGUCAAAACAGAACUGGGUCAAAGCGUGUCAAAUUUGGUGCAGGUCAAAACCGGUUGUAUUGGGUUAGCUUGACUAUCAUUGCUUAUUUCUCAUAACAAAUCAAAUCCAUUUUGGGGGUUUCAAUCUUUUUUCUUUUUUACUUCUGUUAUUACCUUUUUACCCAUAUCAUGGAACAGUCUGAUUCUAACUUUUACGAUAAAACUAAUUUUAGGAUGGUUGAGCACAAUGAUGUGUUAGAAGACAUCAAACUAACCAAUGAUGAGAUUGUUAAUUGGCAAGCUAUGCAACAUAGGAGCAUAUAGUACUUAGAAAGUAAGAAGAAAUCUUUAAGAACUGAUAAAUCUUGUAGCUUGGUUUUUGUGUGACUAUUGUCAAACGGUCUCCCUUCACUUCAACAGUAAGUUCAUUCAUAAAGCUUGUGGAGCCAAGGGCCAUGGAUGUUUGAAGUAGUGGGGGUUCUUUGUAUGGAUGUUUAUAAGAAACUAUAAAGACAACUUGAUCUAAUAAUUUGAAGUUUCUUGCAUGUGAACAUGCUCCAGGUGGUGCAUGGUGGUAAUCUUCUAAAACUCAUUUCCUUUAAGCGGAUCUUCUAAAAUUAGUUACUUAGAGGUGACUAAAUGAGUGGGUAACUUGUGUUUAACCUGGUCAAAUCCGUUUGCAUGGUCUACUUUUCCUUUGUUGAAAUAUUAUAUUUUUUUGAAUAUAUACACAGGACCUGUGAAUUAUUUUAAAAAUAAUCAUUUACAAAAAAAGGUUUCUCAAGGCAUACUGAGCUGUAUAAAAAAAGUUUUUAGUUUCGCCCGUUAACUAACCCGCGUGACCAACUCAAUGUUAAUAUUUUUAUUUGAAUCCUAUAAUUAAUUUACAAAAGUUUUUGUUUUUAAGAUUUUACUGUUCUUGGAAAUGAUUCAGUGGGCUAAUUACUUUAUCAUGUUUAAAACAUAAUAUUGUUUUAGCUAAUGCCUUUAUCAUGUUUAAAAUGCAAUUGCGUUCGAUAGGAAGCGAAAUCUCAGCCGCGGCUAUGACAAAUGUGGGCAUUUAACUUGGGAGUUGAUUUUAUUUUCAACUGGCAGAUAUGGACAAUUAACAUGGGAGUGGACAAAAGGGAUACGUAGCUACUUGCAUCCAAUUUUAUUUGCAAUUCUCUAUUUCCGUUUUACAUCUCGAUACUCCAUCCUUCAUGGUAAGUAGAGGUGGCAAAAUGGGUGGAUUGGGAGGGUUGGGAUGUGUCAAAAGCAAAAUCUUUAGUAUCGGAUGGGUUAGGUUGAUCCUCUCAGUUAAGUGUAACUACCUUCGAAAUCAAGCUCCACCAUCGGAUUCGGCUGAGAUUUAUUCUCAGCCAUUUAAACUCCCUAAAAUAACCGCUGAAGUGGCAGUUCAAGGCGGUUAUUUGCAGUUUUCUGACCUGGUGGUUUGCUCCAUAUUUUGUGCCCAUGAUCUCCACUUCUCUGGUGGUUAUAUCCGGCUUUUUAGAGCCCAAGAUCUCCAUACCAACUCCUACAAACUUGGGUCAGUUGAGAAGACCUUUUGUUAUAUAUUGUACCAACAUUCAAAAUUUUCAAUCAUUAAUUUCGAAACCAAAUUCUAUCCGGCAGUCAACAAAACAUGGAGCAAAGUAAAGGUUUCAAUAAUUUCAUCCACCAAGGGUGUUCGAGCAAUGAAAACCAAAUUCCAUCAGCAACUUUAUCACACGCUUUAACAAAGUGUACAGUGUUCUAAUAUCACCAUAUUGUUGUUAUCAAGUUCAAGGAUGCUUCCACGGUAAACGAUAAGCCUGGUAUUAGGGGAAUUAUAACUAUACCUUAAUGAUGGAUAUGUAAGAACUACUAAAGGGAUAAUGGAUAUGGUAACAACUACCAAGGUGAUAUUGGAUAUGGUAACAACUACCAACGAGAUAAUGGAUAUGGUAACAACUACCAAGGGGGAAACUUCUUCGAGCUAACUGCCGAUAUCUCAUCCUUCUAAUCUAAGCUUUUCAUCAACGGACUGAUUGGUAACGCUACUCUUCUGACACCAAAGAGAAUGCAAUGGAUAUUGAAGGUGCCAAACAGAAACUAAAAGAAUUAUGCAACAUUUCCAUAUUUUAUCUAUCAUAUCAGAACAUUGUUUAAGAAAGAAGUUGCUAUCAAGUUUACAAAUGCAGAAGUUGGUUUCAAUUUUCUUUUACAACUGGUUAAUUGUAAGUAU